rnacentral:rRNA from 1 species
CAGUCGCCACGGUAAUACGAAGGGUGCAAGCGUUAAUCGGAAUUACUGGGCGUAAAGCGUGCGUAGGCGGUGAGUUAAGUCUGCUGUGAAAUCCCCGGGCUCAACCUGGGAAUGGCAGUGGAUACUGGCUCGCUAGAGUGUGUCAGAGGAUGGUGGAAUUCCCGGUGUAGCGGUGAAAUGCGUAGAGAUCGGGAGGAACAUCAGUGGCGAAGGCGACUAUCUGGGCCAACACUGACACUGAGACACGAAAGCGUGGGGAGCAAACAGGAUUAGAUACCCCCGUAGUCCCUGUCUCUUAUAC